rnacentral:rRNA from 1 species
GACGAACCGUGCGAACGUUGUUCGGAAUCACUGGGCUUAAAGGGCGCGGUAGGCGGGCUGCCAAGUCUGGGGUGAAAUCCCACGGCUCAACCGUGGAACCUGCCUCGGAUACUGGCGGCCUCGAGGGAGGUAGGGGCGUGCGGAACUGUGGGUGGAGCGGUGAAAUGCGUUGAUAUCCACAGGAACGUCCGGUGGCGAAGGCGGCACGCUGGACCUCUUCUGACGCUGAGGCGCGAAAGCCAGGGAGGCAAACGGG